AUUGAACGCUGGCGGCAUGCCUUACACAUGCAAGUCGAACGGCAGCACGGGAGCAAUCCUGGUGGCGAGUGGCGAACGGGUGAGUAAUAUAUCGGAACGUGCCAAGUCGCGGGGGAUAACGCAGCGAAAGCUGUGCUAAUACCGCAUACGCUCUAAGGAUGAAAGCGGCGGACCGCAAGACCUCGCGUGAUUGGAGCGGCCGAUAUCAGAUUAGCAAGUUGGUGGGGUAAAGGCACAGCAAGGCGACGAUCUGUAGCUGGUCUGAGAGGACGACCAGCCACACUGGAACUAAGACACGGUCCAGACUCCGACGGGAGGCAGCAGUGGGGAAUUUUUGACAAUGGGCGCAAGCCUGAUCCAGCAAUGCCGCGUGCAGGAUGAAGGCCUUCGGGUGGUAAACUGCUUUUGUACGGAACGAAACGGCCCUUUCUAAUACAGGGGGCUAAUGACGGUACCGUAAGAAUAAGCACCGGCUAACUACGUGCCAGCCGCCGCGGUAA
rnacentral:rRNA from 1 species